UGUAUAAUGGGUCAGCGACUUAUAUUCUGUAGCAAGGUUAACCGAAUAGGGGAGCCGAAGGGAAACCGAGUCUUAACUGGGCGUUAAGUUGCAGGGUAUAGACCCGAAACCCGGUGAUCUAGCCAUGGGCAGGUUGAAGGUUGGGUAACACUAACUGGAGGACCGAACCGACUAAUGUUGAAAAAUUAGCGGAUGACUUGUGGCUGGGGGUGAAAGGCCAAUCAAACCGGGAGAUAGCUGGUUCUCCCCGAAAGCUAUUUAGGUAGCGCCUCGUGAAUUCAUCUCCGGGGGUAGAGCACUGUUUCGGCAAGGGGGUCAUCCCGACUUACCAACCCGAUGCAAACUGCGAAUACCGGAGAAUGUUAUCACGGGAGACACACGGCGGGUGCUAACGUCCGUCGUGAAGAGGGAAACAACCCAGACCGCCAGCUAAGGUCCCAAAGUCAUGGUUAAGUGGGAAACGAUGUGGGAAGGCCCAGACAGCCAGGAUGUUGGCUUAGAAGCAGCCAUCAUUUAAAGAAAGCGUAAUAGCUCACUGGUCGAGUCGGCCUGCGCGGAAGAUGUAACGGGGCUAAACCAUGCACCGAAGCUGCGGCAGCGACACUAUGUGUUGUUGGGUAGGGGAGCGUUCUGUAAGCCUGUGAAGGUGGCCUGUGAGGGUUGCUGGAGGUAUCAGAAGUGCGAAUGCUGACAUAAGUAACGAUAAAGCGGGUGAAAAGCCCGCUCGCCGGAAGACCAAGGGUUCCUGUCCAACGUUAAUCGGGGCAGGGUGAGUCGACCCCUAAGGCGAGGCCGAAAGGCGUAGUCGAUGGGAAACAGGUUAAUAUUCCUGUACUUGGUGUUACUGCGAAGGGGGGACGGAGAAGGCUAUGUUGGCCGGGCGACGGUUGUCCCGGUUUAAGCGUGUAGGCUGGUUUUCCAGGCAAAUCCGGAAAACCAAGGCUGAGGCGUGAUGACGAGGCACUACGGUGCUGAAGCGACAAAUGCCCUGCUUCCAGGAAAAGCCUCUAAGCAUCAGGUAACAUCAAAUCGUACCCCAAACCGACACAGGUGGUCAGGUAGAGAAUACCAAGGCGCUUGAGAGAACUCGGGUGAAGGAACUAGGCAAAAUGGUGCCGUAACUUCGGGAGAAGGCACGCUGAUAUGUAGGUGAAGCGACUUGCUCGUGGAGCUGAAAUCAGUCGAAGAUACCAGCUGGCUGCAACUGUUUAUUAAAAACACAGCACUGUGCAAACACGAAAGUGGACGUAUACGGUGUGACGCCUGCCCGGUGCCGGAAGGUUAAUUGAUGGGGUUAGCGG
rnacentral:rRNA from 1 species